rnacentral:rRNA from 1 species
UACGUAGGGUGCAAGCGUUGUCCGGAAUUAUUGGGCGUAAAGAGCUCGUAGGCGGUUUGUCGCGUCCGUUGUGAAAACUCGAGGCUCAACCUCGGGCUUGCAGUGGAUACGGGCAGACUAGAGUGCGGUAGGGGAGACUGGAAUUCCUGGUGUAGCGGUGGAAUGCGCAGAUAUCAGGAGGAACACCGAUGGCGAAGGCAGGUCUCUGGGCCGCAACUGACGCUGAGGAGCGAAAGCGUGGGGAGCGAACAGG